rnacentral:rRNA from 1 species
GAUGAACGCUGGCGGCGUGCCUAAUACAUGCAAGUCGAGCGAACAGAUGAGGAGCUUGCUCCUCUGACGUUAGCGGCGGACGGGUGAGUAACACGUGGAUAACCUACCUAUAAGACUGGGAUAACUUCGGGAAACCGGAGCUAAUACCGGAUAAUAUAUUGAACCGCACGGUUCAAUAGUGAAAGACGGUUUUGCUGUCACUUAUAGAUGGAUCCGCGCCGCAUUAGCUAGUUGGUAAGGUAACGGCUUACCAAGGCAACGAUGCGUAGCCGACCUGAGAGGGUGAUCGGCCACACUGGAGCUGAGACACGGUCCAGACUCCUACGGGAGGCAGCAGUAGGGAAUCUUCCGCAAUGGGCGAAAGCCUGACGGAGCAACGCCGCGUGAGUGAUGAAGGUCUUCGGAUCGUAAAACUCUGUUAUUAGGGAAGAACAAAUGUGUAAGUAACUAUGCACGUCUUGACGGUACCUAAUCAGAAAGCCACGGCUAACUACGUG